UGCAUCUUUAAUUUGUGAAUAUUUCCGGACAUAAAAGUGGCAAGGAUGUAUUACAUGGCUGACAAAAACUAGCUCUGGAGAACCUAGAAAGAGCCAUUCUGGAUAGCUGAAUUUAUCUCUGUACCUAUUGGAGUCUGGACAGAGAAGCUGCAGCAGUCAUGUGAAAAGCC